GAUGAACGCUGGCGGCGUGCCUAAUACAUGCAAGUCGAGCGAACAGACGAGGAGCUUGCUCCUCUGACGUUAGCGGCGGACGGGUGGGUAACACGUGGAUAACCUACCUAUAAGACUGGGAUAACUUCGGGAAACCGGAGCUAAUACCGGAUAAUAUAUUGAACCGCAUGGUUCAAUAGUGAAAGACGGUUUUGCUGUCACUUAUAGAUGUAUCCGCGCCGCAUUAGCUAGUUGGUAAGGUAACGGCUUACCAAGGCGACGAUGCGUAGCCGACCUGAGAGGGUGAUCGGCCACACUGGAACUGAGACACGGUCCAGACUCCUACGGGAGGCAGCAGUAGGGAAUCUUCCGCAAUGGGCGAAAGCAUGACGGAGCAACGCCGCGUGAGUGAUGAAGGUCUUCGGAUCGUAAAACUCUGUUAUUAGGGAAGAACAAAUGUGUAAGUAACUAUGCACGUCUUGACGGUACCUAAUCAGAAAGCCACGGCUAACUACGUG
rnacentral:rRNA from 1 species